AUAUAAAAUUUACAACUGCUUGUAUUCUGCUAUCGGCAAUAAAACCAAAAAACAUAAGGAAAAUACAGAUCUCAUUCACAGAUUUAAUCAACAUAAGGAAAAACUCAAAACUUCAACAGCUAAAAAUCACUUAAAUAUUCAACAUGACAUUUAUUAAAUUAGUUUAUGGAAUUGUCAUGACUGCCGAGCAAACAAAUCUAAGAGUUAAACACUAUAAUUUACAUUCCCAUGCAAUAAAAAGACUUAAAGAAGCAGGGUCACUUUAGUUAUGAUCAGGUCGAUUGGAUUUUUAUGGCACAUAUAUUCACUUGAACUAUGCUAUGCAGGGUAACCAUCUUGGAGGUACUCUUUUUGGUGAUGAAAUAGACACUUUCAAGGACGUCCUGCAACUAGGGAAAGAAUAUGAGAUCGCAAAUGCUCCACUGAAACCAAUAGAUCCAAAGUACCAAAAAAGAGAAGACGAGUGCCAGAUGACAUUCGGCGGACAAACGAUCAUCGAACCACUGGACCCAACUGCAGGUCCAGUUCUGCCAAAUUAUGUCUCCAUCAACUCAAUUCCAAAAACAAGCUUCAAAAAUGAACGCUUUGAUUUGCUUGCUGUUGUCCUUUACAUAGAAGAGGUCAGGAAAGUACCAACAUCAGGAGGAAACAUGAUGGAUGUACGUGCAAUCAUAAUCACUGACCAAAGGUACGUAAACAAUGACAAUAACCUAUUAUAACAAUGUAAUCCACCAUUUAUACAAAACUACAAAAGUAUCCAUGACUCUAUAUGCCAUGAUAAACAACACUGAACAGCCGCUCACCAUCUCAAUGUGGGGAGGCCUUUCUGUUAUUGACACUGAGAAGCUUGCAGGUUGGGUGCUAAGCCCAAUAGUUGCAGCCUUCACUCACUUACAACCAACCACAUAUAAAGGGUUCUCCCUUGCAAGCUCAAUGUCAACUACUAUCAUCUCAGAUCCUAUGGGGGAGGAAGCAUAUGCUCUUCGAACAUGGAUGAAAGAAAAACAAGAAUGCUUCUUGACCAGGCAACAAAAAUACUGCACAUCAGAACACCAGCAGCGAAAACUAUCUAUGAAAUUGAGCAAAAAAAUGCUGCAAACACAAUGCAAGAAGAACGCCAUUGGAUACAAGCCACUAUCCCUGAUGCUCAGUUGGAAAAUCUGCUAGCUUACUUAGGAUGUAACAACUGUGGAAAGCGCUGCCAAGAAGCAAAGGACGCAACUUUCAAAUGCCUACACUGCUAAAAAAAAAAUAGUACUGCCGCAGUCAGGGUAAAUUUCACAAUCGAUGUGAGUGACGCCACUGGGACACUAAGACUCACUGCUUUUGCUGAAGACUGUGAAAAGCUCAUUGGUCUCCCUACUUCAGAGAUAUAUGAGAAGAAAAUGGCGGGUGAUUGGCCAGAAUUUGAAGAUAUAGCUAGCAACCUAAAGGUGAGGACCAUCAAAUUCCAAAUAGCACCAACAACUUCUCUAACUAGAAUCGGGGUGCUCAAAUGGGCUAUCAAAGACGUUGAGAUUUGACGACACAUGAAAGUCCUACAACAAAAAACAAGAAGUAGUCGUUUGUCCUUAAACGACACCUUAUACUUAGCUACAUAUUUACAAUAAUUUAGUACUACCAUAUAAGAAUACUUACUGCAUAUCAUUAUAUCUAUCUAAGUACUCCGUACUAUUAGGAUUAAUCUUAAAUUAUGUGCCAUGUAAGAACUCUUUUAUUGAAAUCAAAUAAUAAAUGGCAAGUUUAAAGAUCAUUGCACCACUCCAAUUGAUAGUCACAACACCAACUCAUUGCAAUUACAAAUUUCAAUUACUGUACAUUUCAAGCUAAUAGCACCACUCCAAUAUGAUAGCCACGUAAACCACAAUUCCCUUUACAAAACAACAACCCACAAACAACUCAAAUAAAAAAUAAUUAACCCAAAAAACAAUUACCAAAACCUCAUAAACAAAACACAUUCUAAACAAGAAAAGGCAAACCGAUCCGCGCGCAUCGCGCGCGUUGGCUCCCCUAGUUUUAAUAAGUGUUACACUUCUUUUUUUGGCAAAAAGCUACACUAAAAUAUUAGUAUAUCUCUCUCUUCUCAUGAUCACCACCCAAACCCAUUGCUACUUAUUUUAUUAUAUUUUUCUUCUAACAUUCACUACUCUUCAAUAAAUUAUUAACCGCAGUAUUUUUCUUUUACAAUUUUUUUAUACUCCUACUCCA